AAAAAUCUGGAAAGAGGAAGUGGAGGCUUUCUGUGUAUCGACAUUUUUAGAAAAAAUGAUUUAGGGAGUAUGUUACAAUAAAUGUUAAUAAAGAUGGAGAUAUUUUUUUUUCUUAAUUUUUUUAAAAAAGAUAAAAACUAAAAUAUAAUAAUUUAAAAUAAAAUCAAAAACAAAAAUUGAAAUAUAAACGUAGAAAAUUCUAUUUAG
rnacentral:lncRNA from 1 species